rnacentral:rRNA from 1 species
AGGGUUUGAUUCUGGCUCAGGAUGAACGCUGGCGGCGUGCCUAACACAUGCAAGUCGAACGAAGCGCUGGAACGGAUUUCUUCGGAUUGAAGAUCCAGUGACUGAGUGGCGGACGGGUGAGUAACGCGUGGGUAACCUGCCUCAUACAGGGGGAUAACAGUUAGAAAUGACUGCUAAUACCGCAUAAGCGCACAGCUUCGCAUGGAGCAGUGUGAAAAACUCCGGUGGUAUGAGAUGGAUCCGCGUCAGAUUAGGUAGUUGGUGGGGUAACGGCCUACCAAGCCGACGAUCUGUAGCCGACCUGAGAGGGUGACCGGCCACAUUGGGACUGAGACACGGCCCAA